GUUUGGUUAAGUUAGAAAGGGCGCACGGUGGAUGCCUUGACACUAGGAGUCGAUGAAGGACGGGACUAACGCCGAUAUGCUUCGGGGAGCUGUAAGUAAGCUUUGAUCCGAAGAUUUCCGAAUGGGGAAACCCACUAUACGUAAUGGUAUGGUAUCCUUACCUGAAUACAUAGGGUAUGGAAGACAGACCCAGGGAACUGAAACAUCUAAGUACCUGGAGGAAGAGAAAGCAAAUGCGAUUUCCUGAGUAGCGGCGAGCGAAACGGAACAUAGCCCAAACCAAGAGGCUUGCCUCUUGGGGUUGUAGGACAUUCUAUACGGAGUUACAAAGGAACGAGGUAGACGAAGCGACCUGGAA
rnacentral:rRNA from 1 species